AUUGAACGCUGGCGGCAUGCCUUACACAUGCAAGUCGAACGGUAACAGGUCUUCGGAUGCUGACGGGUGGCGAACGGGUGAGUAAUACAUCGGAACGUGCCUAGUAGUGGGGGAUAACUACUCGAAAGAGUGGCUAAUACCGCAUGAGAUCUACGGAUGAAAGCAGGGGAUCGCAAGACCUUGUGCUACUAGAGCGGCCGAUGGCAGAUUAGGUAGUUGGUGGGAUAAAAGCUUACCAAGCCGACGAUCUGUAGCUGGUCUGAGAGGACGAUCAGCCACACUGGGACUGAGACACGGCCCAGACUCCUACGGGAGGCAGCAGUGGGGAAUUUUGGACAAUGGGCGCAAGCCUGAUCCAGCAAUGCCGCGUGCAGGAUGAAGGCCUUCGGGUUGUAAACUGCUUUUGUACGGAACGAAAAGCCCUGGGUUAAUACCCUGGGGUCAUGACGGUACCGUAAGAAUAAGCACCGGCUAACUUCGUGCCAGCCGCCGCAGUAA
rnacentral:rRNA from 1 species